GACGAACGCUGGCGGCAUGCCUAACACAUGCAAGUCGAACGAGACCUUCGGGUCUAGUGGCGCACGGGUGCGUAACGCGUGGGAACCUGCCUUUAGGUUCGGAAUAACUCAGAGAAAUUUGAGCUAAUACCGGAUGAUGUCUUCGGACCAAAGAUUUAUCGCCUUUAGAUGGGCCCGCGUUGGAUUAGCUAGUUGGUGGGGUAAAGGCCUACCAAGGCGACGAUCCAUAGCUGGUCUGAGAGGAUGAUCAGCCACACUGGGACUGAGACACGGCCCAGACUCCUACGGGAGGCAGCAGUGGGGAAUAUUGGACAAUGGGCGAAAGCCUGAUCCAGCAAUGCCGCGUGAGUGAUGAAGGCCUUAGGGUUGUAAAGCUCUUUUACCCGAGAUGAUAAUGACAGUAUCGGGAGAAUAAGCUCCGGCUAACUCCGUG
rnacentral:rRNA from 1 species